AAACACUGUUAAUUUACUACAAAACGACGUCGUUUUUUAUUAGGGUUUGGAGACCAACUUACCUCGCUGGAGUCGCCCGGCCUCGAGUCGAAUACUCAUUUCCUCUGUUCCUCACUUCCUCAGUGCCUAAACUCUCUCGAGCCCACCCCUACUCAGUCGAAUCCUCGCCGCCACCAGACGCCGCCAAUCAAUUCCGGCGACACAAAGACGGGAACGCAGGAAGACUGGAACUCACAGCAGCUUUCCAUCUCUCUUUUAAUCAGUAAGGUUAGUCGAAGUGUCGAACUCCGUCUUUGAUUUUCGAUCUGAGAUUCUGAGCUAGUUGAUCUCCAAUCCGUCUUUGAUUUUCACCGAUUUGUGUGUAGCUAGUUGAUCUCAAGUCUUCAGUGACUCACUAAUCUUCACCAUGUCUUCUUAUUUCGUGUUUUUCGGCUUCAGAGAUUGAAGAAGAGUCGGUGUUCUUUUCUCCUCCAUAGCAACAAGUAUAGAUUGAAGAAGACUCGGUGUUCUUUUCUCCUCCAUAGCAGCAAGUAUAGAUUGAAGAAGACUCGGCUUCAGAGAUUGAAGAAUUCCAGAUUAGCUUGGAACUUGGAAGAGACUUACAGAUUUGGGCUAGACUUUGGUCAGUUGGUGUUUAUAGCUGUGAUAUUUCUGGAUAAGGUACUCUGCAUUUGUUUUGGCUGAGUAGUUUUCGACUUGAGAUUGCAUAAAAUGAAGAGGCAAAUGGAGAAAUCUAAGUCAUGUGGUACAAAUUCUGCCUCAGCCCCGAAGAAUAAAUCAUCUUCAUCAUCUCAGAUCAACACUAGUGUUGGUGAAUCUACAACACCAAUACCUCCCCGCGAAGGAACUUCUACUGCAACUCCGGAAGUUCAAGGAACUCAAGGAAGUCAAG